ensembl:lincRNA
UGAUUGUGAAAACCUAGUAGAAUACGACAAAAUUUUUAAAUGAAUAAAAUUGUCUAGGAUAAUAUUAAAAAUAUACUGUGAUUCACAGUUAAAACAAAACCACAUCUCCAUCGAAUAGAAACCAUGAGAAAGUUUCCGACAGGAAUACCAAAACAUCCUUGCUCAUUUUAAAAUUGUACUUGCAUUUAACAACAGAAGGUUUUAGGAUGUACUUCUUGUAAACUGUCUUUAUGUAUGAGCACCAUCAAUUAAAUUUACCCAUAGAAACAAAUCAUCAUCAUAAAUUUCCGAGCUGAUACAGGCAGAGGCUAAGAUCAGGUGAGAUGUCAUCAUGAGUGUCCUUCCUCUUCUCCUUCUAAAUAUAAGCCAUGUUUGUUUCCCCUAAAGAACGUAGGGGCUUGGCAAGGAUUCUCAUUGGUCUUAUAAAACAAAAAUGCCUAUAACUAACUUAUCUUUUCAUUUCUGUUCCUUUUUUCACACUCUGAGAGUGCUAGGUCAGGCCUCUUCAAGCCCUUUACACAAAGGAAGGCAGAGUGCUUAGUAAAAAGAAAAAUAAAUAAUAAAUAAAUAAAACUAUACCUGCUUUGCCUUGGGUUCAAAGACCAAGUACAGCUUCAUCUCUGGGAUGGAGGGUGGAAUUCUCGUGACAGCACUGGGUAUGUCCUUUGUUUUCUCUAUUCACUCAGAGUCCUUUCAAGGUUUUCAUUAAAUGUUAUUAGCAAGCAUUCACACAAAGCACGAAUGUGAAAUCCCAGGGAGACUCAAGUGGCAGAAUGAACAGCAAGUGGAAUAUAAGACACGAAGUAACUGAAGUCAGACAUCCUCAGCUCAGUGGAAUUGCCAAUGGCAGGUAUUGCCUGGAUCUCAGCCAUCUGUUUUCAGUGACACACAGUAGUCUGUGUUUGCAGGAAUGGAUGCUGCUUAUAAGAAAAGAGCUGGAAGGAGGGUACAAGAACAUGAAAUCUGCAAUCGGUACCAAAAUAACCACAGCUAGCUAAUGUGGCUGCUUUUAUUCUGCAACUUGGUUAUUAUCUCCUUGAAGGUGACAACUAUUGUCUCUUUCACAUGUUUUAGUUAAACUUGAGCCAAAUGUAGUUUAUUAAUAGUGAUUGAGGGGAUGCGCUUAGGAAAAACAACAUGCUUUCCCAAGACCCAAGUUAAACAUUUUUCAUCUAAUCUUUAUUGACAAAAAAAUUUCCUUUUUGAUGUUAUAUAUGACUUCAGAGAGCUCUUGAUAGUUUCCAGUUUUAUUCAAUGACUAGAAAUUCAAAAAGAACAGGUGGAGAGACAUAGGAAAUAUUUUCAAAAAGAAAAUUGUGUAUUUUAUAUAUCCAGAAUUAGAAAGAGAAGAGAAAAAGAAAUGCAGUUCAGAAUCAAGUAGAGAAAGUCUAUUGAUGAGGUAGAAUAUGACAUGAAUAUGAACUUGAGAGAGUAAAUGUUGUGCUUGUUAUGUUGUCUUCAGGAAUGGCCUAAGAGUGUUAUUUCUUGUGUUCUGUGGGUUAUGGGAGAUAAGGUGGACGGUGAAGGGCACCUCAUCUAGCUUAAAGAAGAGUCCAAAGAAUAAAAAGAGCAAAUGGUAUGCAGACAACAGGAUGGAAUUCAGAUACCAGGUAGAUACAGAAAUGUUCUCUCUGUUCUCUUCCAGCAUUUGGUGUGAAUGUGAUGGCAUGAGCUAGAAGCAAGGGAACACUUAGAAUAAUAAUUCAAACAAUAACUUAUAUUCUCACUCUGUCGCCUAGGCUGGAAUACAGUGAAAAGAUCUCAGCUCACUGCAACCUCCACUCCCAGGUGCAAGUGAUCCUCCUGCCUGAGCCUCUGCCUGAGCCUCCUGACUUAUCUGGAAUUACAGGCGCAUGCC